rnacentral:lncRNA from 1 species
CAAGGGGCAUUUAAGUAGUCUGCCCAAAGUCACACAGCUAAGAUGUAGUGAUGGGAUAUGAAGUCAAACAGUCUUAAAAGCAAGCUGUCCUGUCGCAAAAUAGAAAUUAGUUGAUAAUGCCUUCCAGGAGACCUAGGGCCAUCCUAUUGAUAUGAACCAGAUCAUACCUGCCCUGAUGGGAUGCCAGAGAAAGACUGCUGCAAGGGCUCCUCUGGGAACAGAACAGAGGGAAGAAGAUAACUUCCCUGAAGCCCAGAUGUUCCAGAAGCCUGCACGUCAUUCACAAAGUCACCCCAAAAAUGCUCUAGAGUUUGAAGUUUUGAAGAAGCAGGAAGAAGGCCUGAGUAAGGGCCUGGGAACCAAGUUAGAUCCUGCUUUAGCAUCAGCACGUGCCAGCGAUGGUGCACACAGGUGGAGAGCGGCCUGCCCAUCUUUUCCAUGGUGCCCACAGACCCAUUUAGGAUGAAAGAUCAGAAAAUUCUCUCCAUGUCACCGCUUCUGAAACAUGUGAAUAUUAAUAUUUGGUGCCUAAAAAGCCAUGGCAAAUUUUCAAUGGUUUUAUCUUAUUCAUGAUUAUAGAGUUGAAAGAAUACA